rnacentral:tRNA from 1 species
GCAUUGUUAGUAUAACGGUCAUUAUGGUCGCCUUCCAUACAGAAGGAACUUUGUCCCUUGUUAGCGACAGACCCGGGUUCGACUCCCGGACGAUGCA